UGGAUGAAGUCCUGGAGGACUCACUAGAUGAACAGUAUUUGACUCAUUCCAGGUGCCAUGACUCCCACCAGCUUCCCAGCAGCAAUGCCUUCAUCUUUGAUGCACAGGAAUACCCCUCUGCUCUGGAUAUAGCCAAAGAUGAGAUCCAGAGCCAGCGGCAGCACCUGAAGUAAACCCUUUUCAUCAACAAUGGCCUGCAAGAAAAGCUGGAACGUCAUCUCAGCAGCUUUGACAAAGAAAAUGGUAGGAGAGGCCCAAGUCGGCCUGCUUCUGGCAAUAUGUAUUUUUCUAAAGGCAUGUGACUGGGGCAAUGUUAUAGAUUUCAAGCACUUUGACAUACUUUACUUCACUUAUUCAUUACAAAUGUCCCAGCUAGAGAGGUAGGGCAGCUACUAGCAUUCCUAUUCAUAGGUAAAUAAACAGGCUUAAAGAUUUGCCUCCAUCUUAGAAGUAUCUACCUCUAAAAUCAUUCUUGUGAUUCCUAGGCUGUCUGCUGUCUUCUGUCUGCUGCUGUACACUGCCUGCUGUCUCUCUGCUUACGUGAUUGGCAUUCAGUAGAACCCAGGCUUCUGAGCACCUCAUGUAGCAGAAUGAGAGUCUCCUCUGCUGCCAUCCUCAUCAGCUUCCCUUAUGUCUCGGUUACUCUUCAUUCUACCACCCCAAGGAUGCACCUCUAACCUCUACAGGCAUAUCAUAGAUUCCAUUGUCCAGCUGUAUAAUAAAAACAGAGUUCUCAGAGAAUACCAGAGACUCCCCUGACUUGCCUGAAUCAAGUUUCCAGAGGUAAGUGGUGAAAGGCCACAAUGUGAAGUCACUCUCAGAUGGAUCCCUUCUCUUGUCACACUCCACUGUAGAAACAAAAGAGGACAGAGAAGCCAGAGCUGCUCAAAACCUUAUAACUCACAAUUCUCAUGGUUAUUCUCAACUUAGAGAGGGCUGCUUUGUAGACGCACCCCCUCCAGGCCCCCAGACUGCCAGGCUCCAGGAAUAAGUAGCUCUGAGAAAUAUAGUAUUUUGGUGCAAGCCACACUCCACUAUUGCAAAUUAGAGAAGAGAAGGACAAACUUAAAAGGUGAAAAGAUUUAAGAGAGCAACAUGGUGAAACCCCAUCUCUACUAAAAAUACAAAAAUUAGCUGAGCAUGGUGGCAUGCACCUGUAUUCCCAGCUACUUGGGAGGCUGAGGC